rnacentral:pre_miRNA from 1 species
UAAAUACUCCCUCCGUCCGAAAUAGCUUGUCUCUCAAAUGGAUGUAUCUAGCACUAACUUGGUGCUAGAUACAACCAUUUAAGGGACAAGCUUUUUCGGACGGAAGGAGUACAUA